GUGGGGAAUUUUGGACAAUGGGCGCAAGCCUGAUCCAGCAAUGCCGCGUGCAGGAAGAAGGCCUUCGGGUUGUAAACUGCUUUUGUACGGAACGAAACGGUCCUGGCUAAUAUCCGGGGCUAAUGACGGUACCGUAAGAAUAAGCACCGGCUAACUACGUGCCAGCAGCCGCGGUAAUACGUAGGGUGCGAGCGUUAAUCGGAAUUACUGGGCGUAAAGCGUGCGCAGGCGGUGCUGUAAGACAGGCGUGAAAUCCCCGGGCUCAACCUGGGAAUUGCGCUUGUGACUGCAGUGCUGGAGUGCGGCAGAGGGGGAUGGAAUUCCGCGUGUAGCAGUGAAAUGCGUAGAUAUGCGGAGGAACACCGAUGGCGAAGGCAAUCCCCUGGGCCUACACUGACGCUCAUGCACGAAAGCGUGGGGAGCAAACAGGAUUAGAUACCCGUGUAGUCC
rnacentral:rRNA from 1 species